rnacentral:rRNA from 1 species
UAGGGAAUCUUCGGCAAUGGACGAAAGUCUGACCGAGCAACGCCGCGUGAGUGAAGAAGGUUUUCGGAUCGUAAAACUCUGUUGUUAGAGAAGAACAAGGACGUUAGUAACUGAACGUCCCCUGACGGUAUCUAACCAGAAAGCCACGGCUAACUACGUGCCAGCAGCCGCGGUAAUACGUAGGUGGCAAGCGUUGUCCGGAUUUAUUGGGCGUAAAGCGAGCGCAGGCGGUUUCUUAAGUCUGAUGUGAAAGCCCCCGGCUCAACCGGGGAGGGUCAUUGGAAACUGGGAGACUUGAGUGCAGAAGAGGAGAGUGGAAUUCCAUGUGUAGCGGUGAAAUGCGUAGAUAUAUGGAGGAACACCAGUGGCGAAGGCGGCUCUCUGGUCUGUAACUGACGCUGAGGCUCGAAAGCGUGGGGAGCAAAGAGG